AAAUGCGAUAAGUAAUGUGAAUUGCAGAAUUCCGUGAAUCAUCGAAUCUUUGAACACACAUUGCGCCCUCUGGCAUUCCGGGGGGCAUGCCUGUCCGAGCGUCAUUACGCACCCUCAAGCCCGGCUUGUGUGAUGGGCCCCGGCGUCUCGUUCGCGAGACGGGCCCGAAAGGCAGCGGCGGCGUCGACCCGAUGAGCCCGAGCGUAUGGGGACUUCUGUCACACGUUCGCGGUGCGGACCGGCGCCUGCUUGACUUUUCUGAUUAUCCAGGUUGACCUCGGAUCAGGUAGGGAUACCCGCUGAACUUAAGC
rnacentral:misc_RNA from 1 species